rnacentral:rRNA from 1 species
GACGAACGCUGGCGGCGUGCUUAACACAUGCAAGUCGAACGAUGAAACCUAGCUUGCUAGGUCGAUUAGUGGCGAACGGGUGAGUAACACGUGACUAACCUGCCCCUUUCUCUGGGAUAACGCUUCGAAAGGAGUGCUAAUACCGGAUACUCACAUCGAGGCACAUGCCUUGAUGUGGAAAGUUUUUCGGAAAGGGAUGGAGUCGCGGCCUAUCAGCUUGUUGGUGAGGUAACGACUCACCAAGGCGACGACGGGUAGCCGGCCUGAGAGGGCGACCGGCCACACUGGGACUGGGACACGGCCCGGACUCCUACGGGGGGCAGCAGUGGGGAAUGUCGCACAAUGGGCGCAAGCCUGAUGCAGCGACGCGGCGUGAGGGAUGAAGGUCUUCGGAUUGUAAACCUCUUUCAGUAGGGACGAAGCGAAAGUGACGGUACCUAAAGAAGAAGCACCGGCUAACUACGUGCCAGCCGCCGCCGUAA